UGGGCCGUCGCCAAGUGGUAAGGCACCAGGUUUUGAUCCUGGCAUUCGUUGGUUCGAAUCCAGCCGGCCCAGCCA
rnacentral:tRNA from 2 species